GCUGUUGCAAAUAGUAGGAGUUCCUUUUUUACCACAGUGUAGUAUUCCAUUGUGUAGAUCUACCACAGUUUUUUAAUCUACUCAUCUGCCCACGGUUAACUUUUUGAAGAAGUGCCAGUUUUCCAAAGUGCCGGCCCUCCUCUACAUGCCCACCAGCAACAAUGUAUGAUUUCUCCACAUGCUCCCCAACACUUUUUAUUGUCUGUCUUUUUAAGCACAACUAUCCACGUGGAGUAGUAUCUUGAAGUUUUGUAUUUCCCUUAUGACACGAGCAUCUUUUCAUGUCUAUCUUUGGAGAAAUAUCUAUUGAAAUCCUUUGCCCAUUUCUAAAUUGUGUUAUUUGUCUUGUUAUUGUUGAGUUGUAAGAGCUUUUUAUAUAUUCCUGUAUAAGUCCUUAUAAUUUGCAAAUAUCCUAUUCUGUAGGUUGUCUUUUCACUUACUUGCUGGAUGGCUUACAACCCAAGGUUUUUCAUAACAAUAUAGAGCAAUUUGUGGUU